AAGUGUUGACUAGGUUUUCUUUUGUCUAUAUAAGGAACUUUAUAGUGAUAAAGUUCAUUAGGAUUUUUUGAAGUGUUUAAACAACAAAGAGGCAAAAGAAAAAGCUCUCUAACACAUCAAAGGGCCGGCCACCAUUGGGGUGUUUUAUCUAACAAUCUUUCACCCUUUUGGGUAUUCCUUCAUCCUUCUCACUACACUAGUGGGUGAGGAUCUUUAGAGGUGUCCUACUUUGGAAACUUGAAGAGAACCUAGGAGCACUCAUUCUUUCAAAGUGGAGGAGGCAAGGAGGGAAGCUAGGCUCAAGGAUUUCAAGGAGCAAAGGGCUUGGAGGUGGUCCAUCCUUGGUCUCAAGUCUAGAUCAAGAGGUAUAAGACUAACCUUCACUUUGUUCUUUUCUCUAAAAUUUUAUUUGAUGCAUUAUAUAUAAACCUAUGAACCUUGAAGGGGAUUUGCAUGACCAUAGCUUUGAUAAAUGCUUCCGCUGCUUUCGUAUAUCAUAAUUGUUUUGGAUAUGCAUGAUAGUCAUUUAGAAAUCCCAUACAUGAAUCUCAUAGAUUUCCCUUCAAGUGGUAUCAGAGCCAAAGGUUUAUGUAUAAUGUGUCCUUUUGGAUUUUAUGCAUAUGGGUAUUAAUGUUAUGUAUGACAUAUUAUUGUUUCAUUCAAAGUAUGUUUAUCUUUUGUUUUUCAAUAGUUGAAAAAUGUUAGUCAAAAGUUGAGAAAGAUAUGUAUGCAAAAGUGUUUUGUAUGCAUGAAUGAAAAAUGAGUUUAGAACUAGUUUGACAAAUUAUUUCUUCAUUUAAAAGUAUGUUUGUCUUUUGUUUUUCAAUGGUUGAAAAAUGUAAAUCAAGAGUUGAAAAGAUAUGCAUGUAAAAGUUGUUUUGUAUGCAUGAAUGAAGAAUAAGUCAUGAACAAAAUUUGGGGUUUUGAACCAAAGGGAUGGCACGGUUUUGGGGGUGGUUUUGGGUUGUGUUUGUGUUUUAUUGUAAAACACUCUCACAUCCUUUUUAAAGCUAGAAAAGAAGAAACCUUGUCACUUUUGUUUUUGGGUUUGAAAAAUCACCAAGAAUACACAAAUCUUGAAAAAGUGUUCAUGGUUUUGUUCUUGGUGUUCAUAGUUUGGUUUUUGAUGAAAAUGGUUUUAAUGCAUUGUUUUGUGGUUUUGGGUGAUGUUCAUACCAUCCAUAACCAUAUCAUAUACUUAUAAAACCCUAGACUUGACUAGGAGAUUUCCAUCAAACCUUUUUCACCUAAGUUUUAAAUGCCAAAACCAAGUGACAAGCAAAAUUUUGAUUUUUCUACUUUUGCAUUGAAUUAAAGCAUGUGGGUGAACUUCCCAUUCCCCCAUUAAGUGGCCGGCCUCCCUAGUGGAUUUAUCCACUUGUGGGGCUAUUUUGUAAUCUUUGAAAAGUUGAUAUUUACUUUGAAAUAUUUACGGUUUUACCCCUAACUUUUCAUAUUUACAUUUAGGCCACUACUAACUAAAAGUUAAAAUAUUUGAUUUUUAAUUUUGUUAGUUGUUUAAACUCAUAAUACUAUUAUGCCCAUAUGCACUAAAUCUAAAUGUUUAUGUUGCAUUCCUUUUUAAUUAUUUAAAUGUGUUUAAGUAGUUAUGAAAUGGAUGACUUUGGACUUAUGCCUUAAACGAUAAUUGAGCUAUAUGAUAAGGCGUAAAAUCAAAUUGUUUGAACCUUGGGAAUGUGUUUUAAUUACUGUUUAA
rnacentral:lncRNA from 1 species